ensembl:lncRNA
GUUCAGUCUAUCUGGCCUACAUUUUUUUUAUUGUUCGUGGUUUUAUGAAGAUCUUUUUCUUUACACAUGCUCUGCAAGGACAGGGGCUGAUUAUUGCUGCUGUUCUGGUUUUAUAUGGGUUUGUGGGAAGAGGGAAUGGGGCAGGUCUGAUCAAAACUUUUGCUGUAUGUGUUGUGUCAGUAGCGGGCUCUCUACACCAUCCUGGGGCUGUAAGAGUCUGGAGGAGCCCAGUGCUCACAGGAGGCAGUGGAUGGGAGGUGUCCUCAAGCUGGCUUUGUCAUGGGCUGAAGAUCAAUCCUACGUUAAGAAUGAAUACGCCUUCGAACUUCUACAAUCUUUCAACAUGAAGGAGAUCUAGUGGAAGUGCUUCCUUUUUUCCUUUUUUCCUAAUUUUUCCUAAUUGCACAGCAGCAUUGAAGGCUCUUAGCCCAGCCAGCCGUCUUCUUUCUGAAUUACCACAUCUGGAAAAAGUUCAGGCAAAAAUUAUUGUAAAAUGGAGUUGCUGGGACCUCUGUCCAGUGCCUUCUGCACACUUGUAAGACUGAGCUGGGAAUUUUGGAAAAUGAGCUUAUAGGGGCUGAGCUCAUAGCUAUCCCUUCUUGUAUGGCUUGUAUGCUUCUUCCCACAUCAACAGUAGAGCAUUUCAGCUGAAUAUCUGCAGCCCUAAAUGGACUGUCACCUGAAAUGAGGACCACAGGGAGAGCGUAUUGAGUAAAGCAGAGAUCAAGAGCUGCUGUUCAGUAUUUUAACUUGCACUUGAAUAGCCUUAGAAUUUUUUUAUGUCUACUAAGAACCCUGAAUCCAAUUAAAUAUAUCUAAAAGGCAGGGAGGCUGACAGAAUAUAAGGGAGCUUAAUAUAGAACAUAUUGCAUCUCUUUGUUGACUCUGCUCCAUUAUGCCUCGCUCAUUUGUUUUCUUGAUAGGAGACAUUGUAUUAUCACUCCAAACAGACUUCUUCAGAUGUCAUUGAAUCAAAAUUAGAAGCUAAAUCUUGCUGUUCUAUAUCUAGUGGAAGUUACUUCUUAUGACCAAAAAUGCUGAGUAUUUCAAAUGUUCAAAACAAAGCCUGGAAAACUACAUAACGGUGUAAGUCAUCCAUUUCUUUUGCCUCAAUCUUACUAUCCAUUACCCUUAUUUUUGAGGUGCAUCUGCUGUUAGGACGUUACACACUUCUGUUUAGAGGAGCAUCUUAAAAUCUUCAGUGGCAUUAAUUAUGAGAUGUUGGCCAAGUUACACUGUAGUCUUAUCAAAAUUCCUGUUAGGACAUCAGUGUAUCAUCAGUGUAAAUAGCAACCAAUUUGCUUCAUUAAAGCUAUUUUUGAGAAAAUAAACUGAUUUAAUAGGCAGCAAGUUUCCUUUUCCGUUCUUACUGUCACUGCACCUUUUUAAAUGUAAAAUGUGGCUUCACUGUAGAAACCCAUUAAAGAGAGAUAAUAUUUCAUUCAGGUAAGUAUUGCCUUUCUGCUUAAAGGGAAAACACCAUUGUGAGCUUAGUAAAGAAUUUAAUUUGAUGUAUAUCUGCAGGAAGUAAGCCUUACAUCAAAAAGUAAGUACCAG